GGGGUUGUAGUAUAGUGGUUAUACGUCUCGCCAAACCUACUGACCCGCAAGGGUCGGUUUCCACCCAGGCGAGAAGACGCGGGUUCGAUUCCUGCCAACCCCC